rnacentral:rRNA from 1 species
UACGUAGGGCGCAAGCGUUUGUCCGGAAUUAUUGGGCGUAAAGAGCUCGUAGGCGGUGUGUCGCGUCGGCCGUGAAAACCUGCAGCUUAACUGUGGGCUUGCGGUCGAUACGGGCAUCACUGGAGUUCGGCAGGGGGAGACUGGAAUUCCUGGUGUAGCGGUGAAAUGCGCAGAUAUCAGGAGGAACACCGGUGGCGAAGGCGGGUCUCUGGGCCGAUACUGACGCUGGAGAAGCGAAAAGCGUGGG